rnacentral:rRNA from 1 species
UACAGAGGUCUCAAGCGUUGUUCGGAUUCAUUGGGCGUAAAGGGUGCGUAGGUGGCGCCGUAAGUCGGGUGUGAAAUUUCGGAGCUUAACUCCGAAACUGCAUUCGAUACUGCGGUGCUUGAGGACUGGAGAGGAGACUGGAAUUCAUGGUGUAGCAGUGAAAUGCGUAGAGAUCAUGAGGAAGACCAGUGGCGAAGGCGGCUCACUGGACCGGGACUGACGCUGAGGCGCGAAAGCGUGGGGAGCAAACAGG